rnacentral:rRNA from 1 species
ACGGGUGAGGAAUACAUCGGAAUCUACUUUUUCGUGGGGGAUAACGUAGGGAAACUUACGCUAAUACCGCAUACGACCUACGGGUGAAAGCAGGGGAUCUUCGGACCUUGCGCGAUUGAAUGAGCCGAUGUCGGAUUAGCUAGUUGGCGGGGUAAAGGCCCACCAAGGCGACGAUCCGUAGCUGGUCUGAGAGGAUGAUCAGCCACACUGGAACUGAGACACGGUCCAGACUCCUACGGGAGGCAGCAGUGGGGAAUAUUGGACAAUGGGCGCAAGCCUGAUCCAGCCAUACCGCGUGGGUGAAGAAGGCCUUCGGGUUGUAAAGCCCUUUUGUUGGGAAAGAAAUCCAGCCGGCUAAUACCUGGUUGGGAUGACGGUACCCAAAGAAUAAGCACCGGCUAACUUCGUGCCAGCAGCCGCGGUAAUACGAAGGGUGCAAGCGUUACUCGGAAUUACUGGGCGUAAAGCGUGCGUAGGUGGUUGUUUAAGUCUGUUGUGAAAGCCCUGGGCUCAACCUGGGAACUGCAGUGGAAACUGGACAACUAGAGUGUGGUAGAGGGGUAGCGGAAUUCCCGGUGUAGCAGUGAAAUGCGUAGAGAUCGGGAGGAACAUCCAUGGCGAAAGCUGCUACCUGGACCAACACUGACUCUGAAGGCACGAAAGCGUGGGGGAGCAAACAG